rnacentral:rRNA from 1 species
UAAGGAAUAUUGGUCAAUGGACGCAAGUCUGAACCAGCCAUGCCGCGUGAAGGAUGAAGGUCCUCUGGAUUGUAAACUUCUUUUAUCUGGGACGAAAACGGGAUUUUUAUCUCAAUUGACGGUACCAGAGGAAUAAGCACCGGCUAACUCCGUGCCAGCAGCCGCGGUAAUACGGAGGGUGCGAGCGUUAUCCGGAUUUACUGGGUUUAAAGGGUGCGUAGGUGGGCUUAUAAGUCAGUGGUGAAAUCUCCGAGCUUAACUUGGAAACUGCCGUCGAUACUAUAGGUCUUGAAUUAUCUGGAGGUAAGCGGAAUGUGUCAUGUAGCGGUGAAAUGCUUAGAUAUGACAUAGAACACCAAUUGCGAAGGCAGCUUACUACAUAUAAAUUGACGCUGAGGCACGAAAGCGUGGGGAUCAAACA